UUCCAUCAAGUAUUGCAUAUCUC
rnacentral:snRNA from 1 species